rnacentral:rRNA from 1 species
AACGAACGCUGGCGGCGCGCCUAAUACAUGCAAGUCGAACGAGAAGCUGUAGCAAUACAGUUGUACAGUGGCGAACGGGUGAGGAAUACAUGGGUGACCUACCCUCGAGUGGGGAAUAACCAGCCGAAAGGUUGGCUAAUACCGCGUACGCUUCCCAGUCUACGGGUUGGGAAGGAAAGCGAUGCCGUGGGUAUCGCGCUCAAGGUUGGGCUCAUGUCCUAUCAGCUGUUGGUGGGGUAACGGCUCACCAAGGCAACGACGGGUAGCUGGUCUGAGAGGACGAUCAGCCACACUGGCACUGCGACACGGGCCAGACUCCUACGGGAGGCAGCAGUAAGGAAUAUUGCGCAAUGGGACGAAAGCCUGACGCAGCGACGCCGCGGUGGGGGAGU